rnacentral:rRNA from 1 species
GAUGAACGCUGGCGGCGUGCCUAAUACAUGCAAGUCGAGCGAACAGACGAGGAGCUUGCUCCUCUGACGUUAGCGGCGGACGGGUGAGUAACACGUGGAUAACCUACCUAUAAGACUGGUAUAACUUCGGGAAACCGGAGCUAAUACCGGAUAAUAUAUUGAACCGCAUGGUUCAAUAGUGAAAGACGGUUUUGCGGUCACUUAUAGAUGGAUCCGCGCCGCAUUAGCUAGUUGGUAAGGUAACGGAUUACCAAGGCGACGAUGCGUAGCCGACCUGAGAGGGUGAUCGGCCACACUGGAACUGAGACACGGUACAGACUCCUACGGGAGGCAGCAGUAGGGACUCUUACGAAAUGGGCGAAAGCCUGACGGAGCAACGCCGCGUGAGUGAUGAAGGCCUUCGGAUCGUAAAACUCUGUUAUUAGGGAAGAACAAAUGUGUAAGUAACUAUGCACGUCUUGACGGUACCUAAUCAGAAAGCCACGGCUAACUACGUG